UACGUAGGGGGCAAGCGUUGUCCGGAUUUAUUGGGCGUAAAGAGCGUGUAGGCGGCCAUACAGGUCAGCUGUGAAAACUCGAGGCUCAACCUCGAGACGUCGGUUGAAACCGUAUGGCUAGAGUCCGGAAGAGGAGAGUGGAAUUCCCGGUGUAGCGGUGGAAUGCGCAGAUAUCGGGAAGAACACCCGUGGCGAAGGCGGCUCUCUGGGACGGUACUGACGCUAAGGCGCGAAAGCGUGGGGAGCGAACAGG
rnacentral:rRNA from 1 species